rnacentral:rRNA from 1 species
GACGAACGCUGGCGGCGUGCUUAACACAUGCAAGUCGAACGCUGAAGCUCAGCUUUUGUUGGGUGGAUGAGUGGCGAACGGGUGAGUAACACGUGAGUAACCUGCCUCCUUCUUUGGGAUAACGCCCGGAAACGGGUGCUAAUACUGGAUAUUCACUGGUCUUCGCAUGGGGGUUGGUGGAAAGGGUUUUUCUGGUGGGGGAUGGGCUCGCGGCCUAUCAGCUUGUUGGUGGGGUGAUGGCCUACCAAGGCUUUGACGGGUAGCCGGCCUGAGAGGGUGACCGGUCACAUUGGGACUGAGAUACGGCCCAGACUCCUACGGGAGGCAGCAGUGGGGAAUAUUGCACAAUGGCGCAAGCCUGAUGCAGCGACGCCGCGUGAGGGAUGGAGGCCUUCGGGUUGUGAACCUCUUUCGCUCAUGGUCAAGCCGCAACAAUGGUUGUGGUGAGGGUAGUGGGUAAAGAAGCGCCGGCUAACUACGUG